rnacentral:lncRNA from 1 species
AAGCUGUGCUGCCCCUCAGUACUUCAGAUGGCUUUGUGUCUGUAAGAGCAGGCACAAUGUCUCAGCUUCUUGGGGUGAGCCUACAUCUUCUGAACCCUUUUUGAAGCUAUUUCUGCAUUUGAUUUGGCAGCCUAAAGCCCACAGAAAGGAAGAACAUAGGUUUGGAGGCACGCAGCCCCUACGUUUAACAUGGACAUCACAGCCCCCUCAUAAACCCUAAGGAACAAGCAGUUUUGAAAGCCCUCUGCAGCAUUGACUUCUCAUUUUCUGCAGGAUCAGCAUCACUUUGAAGAACAAGGGGCUUUGUAAUGUAGUUCUGUGCAAUGAAACAUUUGUGAAUAUCCAGGAAUGAGAGUCCUUACAGAUGGCAUUGACAUGCACCAGGCUCACAUGGAAACCGCCACAUCACCUGCAGGAAGGAGAACAAGAAGCACUGUGCCCGCUGCCUGCUGGAAUCGCGCCGCUCCCUUCCUUUCUGCUGCCGUCUCAGAGGUGACUCCUGAUGCAGCCAUCUAUUUAUUCCUUUUGUUUGUCGUCCCUCCAUCCAUCCAUGCAUCCAUCCAUCAUCUCUGUGAGAGGACAGAGGUCUGGCUGCCUUGGCAGAGGGAGGAAGCG